rnacentral:rRNA from 1 species
UACGGGGGGGGCAAGCGUUGUUCGGAAUUACUGGGCGUAAAGGGCUCGUAGGCGGCCAACUAAGUCAGCCGUGAAAUCCCUCGGCUUAACCGGGGAACUGCGUCUGAUACUGGAUGGCUUGAGGUUGGGAGAGGGAUGCGGAAUUCCAGGUGUAGCGGUGAAAUGCGUAGAUAUCUGGAGGAACACCGGUGGCGAAGGCGGCAUCCUGGACCAAUUCUGACGCUGAGGAGCGAAAGCCAGGGGAGCAAACGGG